AUUGAACGCUGGCGGCAGGCCUAACACAUGCAAGUCGAACGAGUGGCGGACGGUUGAGUAAUGUAUGGGAAUCUGCCCGAUGGAGGGGUAUAACUACUGGAAACCGUAGCUAAUACCGCAUACCAUCGGAUGUGCCCAGAUGGGAUUCGCUAGUAGGUGGUGUAACGGCUCACCUAGGCGACGAUCCCUCGCUGGUCUGAGAGGAUGACCAGCCACACUGGAACUGAGACACGUGCCAGACUCCUACGGGAGUCAGCAGUGGGGAAUAUUGCACAAUGGGCGCAAGCCUGAUGCAGCCAUGCCGCGUGUAUGAAGAAGGCCUUAGGGUUGUAAAGUACUUUCAGCGGGGAGGCGUUACUCGCAGAAGAAGCACCGGCUAACUCCGUGCCAGCCGCCGCGGUAAUUC
rnacentral:rRNA from 1 species